GCUGUAGCUUAGCAGCAGAACAUCAGCUUUGCAAGCAGAAGGUCCAAGUUUUGAUCCCUGGCAUCUCCA